GUGGUGUCCAGUUUUCAGGCAAUAAACACAUGCCUUUGGUCAGGAAAUUCCAAACAUGGUAAAUAGUUUAAAUGGACAGCUGUAAACAAAUAGGAGAAAUUUGCGGGAGGCAAUUUGAACAUUUAGGUCAGAAAGUCAGAUGUGUGUUGUAUGUGAUCCAAUUGCCAGUCAAGUGGUCAAUUCACAAAGUCAAUUGCAAAUGCAAACAUUAAAGGCAUUCUUAUAUUCUGAAAACAUCCAAGAACCAUUUAAAUCCAAAAAACAAUUGGCAUUCUGAUGUUAGAAUAUUACCUUGAAAUAAUUUGA
rnacentral:lncRNA from 1 species